GUUUGCACUUGUCGGGGAAGGGUGAGAACCUUCGAUUAAGGUUCGACUUGAGCGAAAGCGAGAGAACGUUGUCAACGGCAACGGCCAGUAGGGUGAGGAGCGAAGCGACGAAUAAUCCUUCCCCCACCACCA
rnacentral:sRNA from 1 species